rnacentral:rRNA from 1 species
UACGGAGGGGGCUAGCGUUGUUCGGAAUUACUGGGCGUAAAGCGCACGCAGGCGGACGAGAAAGUCAGAGGUGAAAUCCCAGGGCUCAACCCUGGAACUGCCUUUGAAACUCCUUGUCUUGAGGUCGAGAGAGGUGAGUGGAAUUCCGAGUGUAGAGGUGAAAUUCGUAGAUAUUCGGAGGAACACCAGUGGCGAAGGCGGCUCACUGGCUCGAUACUGACGCUGAGGUGCGAAAGCGUGGGGAGCAAUCAGG